GACGGGGGGUCCUAGCGUUGUUCGGAAUUACUGGGCGUAAAGCGUGCGCAGGCGGUUCUAUAAGACAGAUGUGAAAUCCCCGGGCUCAACCUGGGAACUGCAUUUGUGACUGUAGAGCUGGAGUACGGCAGAGGGGGAUGGAAUUCCGCGUGUAGCAGUGAAAUGCGUAGAUAUGCGGAGGAACACCGAUGGCGAAGGCAAUCCCCUGGGCCUGUACUGACGCUCAUGCACGAAAGCGUGGGGAGCAAACAGG
rnacentral:rRNA from 1 species